GACAGAGGGUGCAAACGUUGUUCGGAAUUACUGGGCGUAAAGCGCGUGUAGGCUGCUCUGCAAGUCGGAUGUGAAAGCCCCGGGCUCAACCUGGGAAGUGCAUUCGAAACUGCAGAGCUUGAGUUCUGGAGAGGAUAGCGGAAUUCUCGGUGUAGAGGUGAAAUUCGUAGAUAUCGGGAAGAACACCGGUGGCGAAGGCGGCUAUCUGGACAGCAACUGACGCUGAGACGCGAAAGCGUGGGGAGCAAACAGG
rnacentral:rRNA from 1 species